UUCAGGCCUUUUUCUGCCUAUUUCUUCACUCACAGUUAUCUCCAGCAAAGUACAGGGAUAAAGAUCAGCACCUCUGCUCAACUACAGGAGGCUACACAGGCUAUGUGCAAUAUGACCAUAGAAGAGAUGACCAGGAAAUCCCCCCACUUGAAAAAAUACCUGAAGGAUUAUUGUGCAGUUGCAGUGUAUAUACAAGUGCUAAUGCUUAGGGGUUAUAGCUUUGAUGAACAUUCUUUCCAAAAUGUUGCUUUCCAGAAAAAGGCAGGUGAGGCCUCUGUGGGCUGGGCUCUGGGUUAUAUACUCAGUGUGAGCAGCCUUCUUCCAGAGGAACCUACCGGGAUCAGAAAGGGCUUGUGUCCUGCGGCAUGGAUCUGUUUGUUGAUUCUCCUAACCAUCCUCCUCACUGCCAC